CACGGGGGGAGCAAGCGUUGUUCGGAAUCACUGGGCGUAAAGGGCGUGUAGGCGGUCAAGUAAGUGGAAUGUGAAAGCCCCCCGGCUUACCCGGGGAUCUGCAUCCCAAACUGCUUGGCUUGAGUACGGGGAGAGGAUAGGGGAAUUCCUGGUGUAGCGGUGAAAUGCAAUAGAUAUCAGGAGGAACACCGGUGGCGGAAGGCGCCUACUCUG
rnacentral:rRNA from 1 species